GAUGAACGCUGGCGGCGUGCUUAACACAUGCAAGUCGAACGAAGCAUUAACCUUGCUUGCAAGGGAGAUGACUGAGUGGCGGACGGGUGAGUAACGCGUGGGCAACCUGCCUUACACUGGGGGAUAACAGUUGGAAACGACUGCUAAUACCGCAUAUGCAUACGGUGCUGCAUGGCACAGUGUGGAAAACUCCGGUGGUGUAAGAUGGGCCCGCGUCUGAUUAGCUAGUUGGUGGGGUAAUGGCCUACCAAGGCGACGAUCAGUAGCCGGCUUGAGAGAGUGAACGGCCACAUUGGGACUGAGACACGGCCCAAACUCCUACGGGAGGCAG
rnacentral:rRNA from 1 species